rnacentral:rRNA from 1 species
GAUGAACGCUGGCGGCGUGCCUAAUACAUGCAAGUCGAGCGAACAGAUAAGGAGCUUGCUCCUUUGACGUUAGCGGCGGACGGGUGAGUAACACGUGGGUAACCUACCUAUAAGACUGGGAUAACUUCGGGAAACCGGAGCUAAUACCGGAUAACAUUUGGAACCGCAUGGUUCUAAAGUGAAAGAUGGUUUUGCUAUCACUUAUAGAUGGACCCGCGCCGUAUUAGCUAGUUGGUAAGGUAACGGCUUACCAAGGCAACGAUACGUAGCCGACCUGAGAGGGUGAUCGGCCACACUGGAACUGAGACACGGUUCAGACUCCUACGGGAGGCAGCAGUAGGGAAUCUUCCGCAAUGGGCGAAAGCCUGACGGAGCAACGCCGCGUGAGUGAUGAAGGGUUUCGGCUCGUAAAACUCUGUUAUUAGGGAAGAACAAACGUGUAAGUAACUGUGCACGUCUUGACGGUACCUAAUCAGAAAGCCACGGCUAACUACGUG